UACAGAGGUCCCAAGCGUUGUUCGGACUCAUUGGGCGUAAAGGGUGCGUAGGUGGCGCCGUAAGUCGGGUGUGAAAUUUCGGAGCUUAACUCCGAAACUGCAUUCGAUACUGCGGUGCUUGAGGACUGGAGAGGAGACUGGAAUUCAUGGUGUAGCAGUGAAAUGCGUAGAGAUCAUGAGGAAGACCAGUGGCGAAGGCGGGUCUCUGGACAGUUCCUGACACUGAGGCACGAAGGCCAGGGGAGCAAACGGG
rnacentral:rRNA from 1 species